AGCUACUGCUAUUGGGAUUCGACUAAGCCAUGCGAGUCAAGGUGUCUUCGGACGCCGGCAUACGGCUCAGUAACACGUAGGUAACCUACCCUCAGGACUGAGAUAACCCCGGGAAACUGGGGCUAAUAUUAGAUAGAUAAAAGAUACUGGAAUGUUCUUUUAUCCAAAGCUUUUGCGCCUGAGGAUGGGCCUGCGUCCGAUUAGGUUGUUGGUGGGGUAAUGGCCCACCAAGCCUGCGAUCGGUACGGGCAGUGAGAGCUGAAGCCCGGAGUUGGGGACUGAGACAAGGCCCCAGGCCCUACGGGGCGCAGCAGGCGCGAAACCUCUGCAAUGCGGGAAACCGUGACAGGGGGAUCCCAAGUGCUCAUACAUUGCAUGGGCUGUUCUUUGGUCUAAGUAACCAGAGGAGUAAGGGCUGGGCAAGACCGGUGCCAGCCGCCGCGGUAAUACCGGCAGCUCAAGUGGUAGCCGCGAUUAUUGGGCCUAAAGCGUUCGUAGCCGGAUAAGUAAGUCUUUGGUUAAAUCCUGCAACUUAACUGUGGGAAAUCUAGAGAUACUGCUUGUCUUGAGACCGGGAGAGGUUGGAGGUACUCCCAGGGUAGGGGUGAAAUCCUGUAAUCCUGGGGGGACCACCUGUGGCGAAGGCGUCCAACUGGAACGGGUCUGACGGUGAGGGACGAAACCUAGGGGAGCGAGCCGGAUUAGAUACCCGGGUAGUCCUAGGCGUAAAUGAUGCGAGUUAAGUGUGGGGGCAUCUACGAGAUGGCCCUGUGCUGUAGGGUAGCCGUUAAACUCGCCGCCUGGGNAGUACGGUCGCAAGGCU
rnacentral:rRNA from 1 species